rnacentral:tRNA from 1 species
GGAGAUUUAGCUCAGUGGUAGAGCGCUUGCCUAGCAAGCACAAGGCCCUGGGUUCGGUCCCUAGCUCCG